rnacentral:tRNA from 1 species
UGGAUCACCUCCUAACAGGGAGACAAACAACGAUUUUGAUGCCUGAGUGAAUUAUUCUUAGGCCAAAAUCCUGUCACCUUAGGUCGAUCGGUACCUCAACUCUGAAGUCAAGAAUGCAUAGCAAUAUGUAUUGCUUGAUGGAGAUUUUCAGUUCCUAAAUUUUGUCUAGGUCACACCCCACAAGGGUUGAGUUUUCCUGGGCCAUUAGCUCAGGUGGUAGAGCGCACCCCUGAUAAGGGUGAGGUCCCUGGUUCAAGUCCAGGAUGGCCCAUUCGGUGUUGGGGGUUUAGCUCAGUUGGUAGAGCGCCUGCUUUGCAAGCAGGAUGUCAGGAGUUCGAGUCUCCUAACCUCCACUGACCGAACUCAACGUCCAGCUUUGCAUCGAAGGAUGGAAAGCGUCUCGAUUGUGAAGUGUGAUCUGGAACUGUCCGCUGGAUGAUCCCAGCUUCCUGUCAUUCCAAAGAGUGAGUGUGAACUCAGAAUUUGGUUGAUAAGACGCUGGGCUCAAAUAAGGAUGUUGAAUGAUCAACAUUUUUGUUUGAUGUCUGGCAGAACCUUGACAACUGCAUAGGUGAGUCUGGAAAAAACAAAGCAUCUCAUGGAUGCAUUGUUUUGAGUCUGAACAUUCGAAUAAAUGUUUGGAACCAGAGCAAUGAAAAUUCUUUUGAGCAAGAGCCGAGACUCUUGAACGUUCUUUGAUUUGUGUCGAGCAGAUCAGAGUUUGAUUGUAUUUUCAGUCAAAGUGAAAACCAAGAUUGAAAGUAUGAGAAUCUGUUUACAACGACAGCAAGCGUUCAGAGAAUAAAUUGGUCAAGCUACAAAGGGCUCAUGGUGGAUACCUUGGCACACAGAGGCGAUGAAGG